rnacentral:lncRNA from 1 species
CUAAACAGUCUCCUCCCCAGGCUCUCUUAAUUGACCCUCCUUAUCCCUCUCUCUCUCCUCUUCUAAAACUCUUCCUUUCUCCCUCUCAUGCCAAGAAUUCAAUCAAUGGCCAACAUUUCUAAAAAUUCCUCUGAAGGUCCUAUUUGUAUUUUAGAAUUCUCUAAUGAUUCCUUAUCUCAGUCCAUUCUUCUCAGGAUACAAUGACCCUCUCCCAGCCCUGUCUCUUCAGCAAAGAAAACCCGUCUGAAUCCCUUUAUCUCUCUUACUCCAGAAUUGAUGCACCAAUUAUAGACAAACUCCCACAAAGAAAAAAAAUUCCUUCAAAAAUUUCUCCAUCAUAUCGAGUUGCGUCAUCAAUCUUAAUGUUCUAAAGAUGCCUCUUGAAAAAUCAAUCACUUCCUCAAAUUUCAAGAUUUGUCCUUACUGUUUCACCUUUCUGUACUUCUGUUUUAUGAAGACACUAUCCAUAUGUUUUAUGCUAAUCUCUGACUUUCCCCAGACAGUGGUGAAUUCGAGCCUCUUAUACUAGGAACAAGAAUUGUCUUGAAUAACUUUCUAUUUAAAAAUGUUGUUGACACCAAGUUCUCUGAUAAAGUACCUUUUAUGAACAAUAACUGGCCUGAGGACUUUGAAGUGGGCUUUGAGGAAGCCAAGAAGUUCUUAUCUAAUUUUGACUCUGCGUCAACUAACUUUGGUCCUUUGUCUGUCUGUUUUAAAUAUUGCAUUAUGGCCCAUAUUGUUCCCACCACUCUGAUUCCUAGAAAAGGAUCUCUAAGCAAUAUCACUUGUCGUGAUGUCUUCGUGCUAUACUGUUUGGUCAAGAAGAUCAAAAUAAAUUGGGCAACUUGGAGUUGGGAAUACAUGCUUAAGAGCGCAAGCGAAGCCAAUGCUUCGGCCAGUUUACCAUAUGGAUUACUUAUCACCUGCAUCCUCUUGUUCUACUGCAUCAAUCUAUUUGCCUACCUCCUAUAGAAGUGGCUACAACUUAUGAUUCUAGAAUUUUCAGUAGCAUGGGAUAUGUCCCGAUGGAAAAUGAGUGGUGCGAGAAAGAAUCUGCCCAUGGAAAGGCUGAGCCUCUUAAGGUAAGUAAGUCUGUUUCUAACCCCUUUGUCUCUUUGAUGAAGGAAUUUGAAGAAUUUAAGCAGCGGUUCAAAACUAUCGAGAAAGGUAUUAUGCAACUCCAAGAGUCUACUGCCACACUCUUGGUCCUUAGGAAAACUAUGAAAUCCGAAAUAGGUGUUGUCCGACUGGGGCUUAAUGGGCUCAAAAAAGGAGUCAAGCAAUUCUCUCGAGUUCACUCUCGCAUGUACUCUUUGAAAUCAUAAGUCUCCUUCUCGAAUGAUGAUCUGGCCAUAUGUGUUAAAAAUUCCUACUCUUCCUUCAUUAAAACUAUUGAAAAAUCUUAUGGUAAGUUCAGUCAAAACAUGUAUAACACUCUC